rnacentral:rRNA from 1 species
AGCAGCCGCGGUAAUUCCAGCUCCAAUAGCGUAUAUUAAAGUUGUUGCAGUUAAAAAGCUCGUAGUUGAAUUUCGGGAUUAGUACGUUGGUCGUGCCUUCGGUACGUACUGGUGUUACUGAUUCCUACCUUCUGACGAACCAUCAUGUCAUUAAUUCGGUGUGGCGGGGAAUCAGGACUGUUACUUUGAAAAAAUUAGAGUGUUUAAAGCAGGCUCGCGCUUGAAUACAUUAGCAUGGAAUAAUGAAAUAGGACGUUGACCCUAUUUUGUUGGUUUCUAGGAUUGACGUAAUGAUUAAUAGGGAUAGUUGGGGGCAUUAGUAUUCAAUUGUCAGAGGUGAAAUUCUUGGAUUUAUUGAAGACUAACUACUGCGAAAGCAUUUGCCAAGGAUGUUUUCAUUAAUCAAGAACGAAAGUUAGGGGAUCGAAGACGAUCAGAUACCGUCGUAGUCUUAACCAUAAACUAUGCCGACUAGGGAUCGGAUGAUGUUAUUUUUAAUGACUCA